UAGGGCUGUAGUCUGCGGGUUGGACAAAGGAAACCUGGAGAUUGUGAAAGGGAGCCUGGGAUGAACAGAAAUGAGGGACUUCUGGAAGCUCAUCUAGGACUAUGACUGGACACUCCUGAAAAGUUAUGUCUAUAGAGACCGAUGGACCAGUGAUUAGAAUUUCAGUACAGUAGGGAGACUGGAAUGUUUCUGGGCCAGAGGCUAACUACCUUCUGUUGGGCUAGUUCUAGCCCUCUGGAGCAGUCAUUCCUUGCUGAUCUCUGCAAGGCCUUUAACAUAAUAGAUUAAAAACCUUUGCAGACUCACAGUCUUCGGUCAGUCCCAAAGCUAAGAAUGUCAUCCGAUAGCAUCUUGGGUGUAUAGAAAAGUCUCCCCCAUCUUGCUGUAACCACCUCUCUGAUGUAACCACCAAUAUAGUUUAAACUUGCCUUGACUUAUGUCUUUCUUUGUUCUGCAAAACUAGGAAGACUUCAUGAAACGGCUUCUACAUUGGAACAUGAGAUUUGGGGUAGUCUACAUCUGUUCAUGGGCAUGAUCAUUUCAAAUGGCUCCAAAAUAAACUGUCUUUUAUUCCCUUUAAGAUGACAGCUGUAGAUUUUGCAUUGCUAGGCAGUACUAACUGAAUGGGAUGUCAGUCGUGGUUCAAGACUUAGCAGCAUCGUGACUUUAGGAGGUCACAGAGUGUCAGCAUUUGGGGUUACAGGUAAGAGUCACAGCUCCCUACUGUUUCACUUGGCAGUGGGGGAUGGGAAUUCCCUUAGAGUUUUAGGAAUCUCAACUCAAGCCAGACCAACACUGAAAAGACUUCAGGACUAGCCAGUAUGGUAG
rnacentral:lncRNA from 1 species